GGUUAAGUGACUAAGCGUACACGGUGGAUGCCUAGGCAGUCAGAGGCGAUGAAGGGCGUGCUAAUCUGCGAAAAGCGUCGGUAAGGUGAUAUGAACCGUUACAACCGGCGAUACCCGAAUGGGGAAACCCAGUGUGUUUCGACACACUAUCAUGUCAUGAAUACAUAGUGGCAUGAGGCGAACCGGGGGAACUGAAACAUCUAAGUACCCCGAGGAAAAGAAAUCAACCGAGAUUCCCCCAGUAGCGGCGAGCGAACGGGGAGGAGCCCAGAACCUGAAUCGGCUUGUGUGUUAGUGGAAGCGUCUGGAAAGUCGCGCAGUAAAGGGUGAUAGCCCCGUACACUAAAAUGCACAGGUCGUGAGUUCGAUGAGUAGGGCGGGACACGUGACAUCCUGUCUGAAUAUGGGGGGACCAUCCUCCAAGGCUAAAUACUCCUGACUGACCGAUAGUGAACCAGUACCGUGAGGGAAAGGCGAAAAGAACCCCGGCGAGGGGAGUGAAAUAGAACCUGAAACCGUGUACGUACAAGCAGUGGGAGCACCUUCGUGGUGUGACUGCGUACCUUUUGUAUAAUGGGUCAGCGACUUAUAUUUUGUAGCAAGGUUAACCGUAUAGGGGAGCCGUAGGGAAACCGAGUCUUAACUGGGCGAAUAGUUGCAAGGUAUAGACCCGAAACCCGGUGAUCUAGCCAUGGGCAGGUUGAAGGUUGGGUAACACUAACUGGAGGACCGAACCGACUAAUGUUGAAAAAUUAGCGGAUGACUUGUGGCUGGGGGUGAAAGGCCAAUCAAACCGGGAGAUAGCUGGUUCUCCCCGAAAGCUAUUUAGGUAGCGCCUCGUGAACUCAUCUUCGGGGGUAGAGCACUGUUUCGGCUAGGGGGCCAUCCCGGCUUACCAAACCGAUGCAAACUCCGAAUACCGAAGAAUGUUAUCACGGGAGACACACGGCGGGUGCUAACGUCCGUCGUGAAGAGGGAAACAACCCAGACCGCCAGCUAAGGUCCCAAAGUCAUGGUUAAGUGGGAAACGAUGUGGGAAGGCAUAGACAGCCAGGAUGUUGGCUUAGAAGCAGCCAUCAUUUAAAGAAAGCGUAAUAGCUCACUGGUCGAGUCGGCCUGCGCGGAAGAUGUAACGGGGCUAAACCAUGCACCGAAGCUGCGGCAGCGACGCUUAGGCGUUGUUGGGUAGGGGAGCGUUCUGUAAGCCGUUGAAGGUGGCCUGUGAGGGUUGCUGGAGGUAUCAGAAGUGCGAAUGCUGACAUAAGUAACGAUAAAGCGGGUGAAAAGCCCGCUCGCCGGAAGACCAAGGGUUCCUGUCCAACGUUAAUCGGGGCAGGGUGAGUCGACCCCUAAGGCGAGGCUGAAAAGCGUAGUCGAUGGGAAACAGGUUAAUAUUCCUGUACUUGGUGUUACUGCGAAGGGGGGACGGAGAAGGCUAGGCUAGCCGGGCGACGGUUGUCCCGGUUUAAGCGUGUAGGGGGUGUGACCUGGUAAAUCCGGUUACAUAUCAACCCUGAGGCGUGAUGACGAUGCACUACGGUGCAGAAGUAGUUGAUGCCCUGCUUCCAGGAAAAGCCUCUAAGCUCUAGGUAACAUUGAAUCGUACCCCAAACCGACACAGGUGGUCAGGUAGAGAAUACCAAGGCGCUUGAGAGAACUCGGGUGAAGGAACUAGGCAAAAUGGUGCCGUAACUUCGGGAGAAGGCACGCUGGCAUGUAGGUGAAGUCCCUUGCGGAUGGAGCUGAAGCCAGUCGAAGAUACCAGCUGGCUGCAACUGUUUAAUAAAAACACAGCACUGUGCAAACACGAAAGUGGACGUAUACGGUGUGACGCCUGCCCGGUGCUGGAAGGUUAAUUGAUGGGGUCAGCCGCAAGGCGAAGCUCUUGAUCGAAGCCCCAGUAAACGGCGGCCGUAACUAUAACGGUCCUAAGGUAGCGAAAUUCCUUGUCGGGUAAGUUCCGACCUGCACGAAUGGCGUAAUGAUGGCCAGGCUGUCUCCACCCGAGACUCAGUGAAAUUGAACUCGCUGUGAAGAUGCAGUGUACCCGCGGCAAGACGGAAAGACCCCGUGAACCUUUACUAUAGCUUGACACUGAACAUUGAGCCUUGAUGUGUAGGAUAGGUGGGAGGCUUUGAAGCGUGGACGCCAGUCUGCGUGGAGCCAUCCUUGAAAUACCACCCUUUAAUGUUUGAUGUUCUAACUCGGCCCCAUAAUCUGGGGUGAGGACAGUGUCUGGUGGGUAGUUUGACUGGGGCGGUCUCCUCCCAAAGAGUAACGGAGGAGCACGAAGGUUAGCUAAUCACGGUCGGACAUCGUGAGGUUAGUGCAAAGGCAUAAGCUAGCUUGACUGCGAGAGUGACGGCUCGAGCAGGUACGAAAGUAGGUCUUAGUGAUCCGGUGGUUCUGAAUGGAAGGGCCAUCGCUCAACGGAUAAAAGGUACUCCGGGGAUAACAGGCUGAUACCGCCCAAGAGUUCAUAUCGACGGCGGUGUUUGGCACCUCGAUGUCGGCUCAUCACAUCCUGGGGCUGAAGUAGGUCCCAAGGGUAUGGCUGUUCGCCAUUUAAAGUGGUACGCGAGCUGGGUUUAGAACGUCGUGAGACAGUUCGGUCCCUAUCUGCCGUGGGCGUUGGAAGAUUGAGAGGGGUUGCUCCUAGUACGAGAGGACCGGAGUGAACGCACCACUGGUGUUCGGGUUGUCAUGCCAAUGGCAUUGCCCGGUAGCUAAGUGCGGAAAAGAUAAGCGCUGAAAGCAUCUAAGCGCGAAACUUGCCUCAAGAUGAGUCUUCCCUGGGCCUUUAAGGUCCCUGAAGGAACGUUUAAGACUAAGACGUUGAUAGGCUGGGUGUGUAAGUGCAGCGAUGCAUUGAGCUAACCAGUACUAAUGAUCCGUGAGGCUUAACCUU
rnacentral:rRNA from 1 species